CGUGAAAUAGUGGAGCAGAGCUGGACUGCUGACUGAAAACCCUACAAAAGCACCAGCAACCUGUGCUGUAUUGGAAGACAAAAGAGUGGUCUGGCAGUGUGCAUUUUUGUUGUAUUUUCUUUGAGCGAUUCCAUUUCUGCCUUUUAGCAAAAGCUACUUGAAUUUCUUGUUAGCCUCUAUGUUUUCUCAUGAUUGUUUUUUGAUCACCUUGUGUACAAGACAUUAUCAUGUGUAUAGGAAGUCUUGUUUGUUGUUUGUGGUAGUUCAAGUUGUUAUGUCCUGAGCAGAUAGUUGUUAAUGGAGUUGUGCCCUUGCUCCUAGAGAAGGUUUUCNNNNNNNGCAGUUCUUAAUACAACAUUCAAUCAUUAUGAAUGAUUAUUCAGUUAUUUUUUUACCACCAAAAAA
rnacentral:misc_RNA from 1 species